UUCGUGGCGAAAUGGAAUCGGAAGGGAGCGGGCGGCAAACUUUCGGACUGAGGAAACUGAGGAAUAUGAACUUCAUAGGAGGCCAGGUAUUAUUCAACAAAACAAAGCUCUUUUUAUCGAAAGUGAUGCCGAGUAAAUCAAGCAGACGUAUACUAAACGGUACGUAC
rnacentral:ncRNA from 1 species